UACGGAGGAUGCGAGCGUUAUCCGGAUUUAUUGGGUUUAAAGGGUGCGCAGGCGGCACGGCAAGCCGGCGGUCAAAUCGCGGGGCUCAACCCCGCCCAGCCGUCGGAACUGCCGGGCUAGAGUGGGCGAGAAGUGCGCGGAAUGCGUGGUGUAGCGGUGAAAUGCAUAGAUAUCACGCAGAACUCCGAUUGCGAAGGCAGCGCACCGGCGCCCUACCAACGCUCAGGCACGAAAGCGUGGGUAUCGAACAGG
rnacentral:rRNA from 1 species